rnacentral:lncRNA from 1 species
AUGACACCUCUGCUGGGUGUCCGGGACAGGCCAACGACGGCUGCUGCUGGUGUCCGGGACAGGCCAACGACGGCAGCUGCUGGUGUCCGGGACAGGCCAACGACGGCAGCUGCUGGUGUCCGGGACAGGCCAACGACGGCAGCUGCUGGUGUCCGGGACAGGCCAACGACGGCAGCUGCUGGUGUCCGGGACAGGCCAACGACGGCUGCUGCUGGUGUCCGGGACAGGCCAACGAUGGCUGCUGCUGGGUGUCCGGGACAGGCCAACGACGGCAGCUGCUGGUGUCCGGGACAGGCCAACGACGGCUGCUGCUGGUGUCCGGGACAGGCCAACGACGGCUGCUGGCCAGCACUCAGGCCUGGCCUGGCAAAGGCCGCUCUCUCGGGUCCUGCGUCCCUCCGUUUGCUCGGCCUCCGAGAUGCCCGCUGGGUGACAGCUGCCGGAGGGCAGGAAGGCCUGGCAGGGACAGGUGGCCCCACCGGAAGAGUGGUGCCAGCUCCCACAACUGGCCACCGGGUCGGGAGAAGGGCAGUGGGGCCGAAAGACAAACCCGGGGAUGAGGGGAGGGGCACAGAGCUGGAGGGGUUAGAGGCGCCGGUGUUCAGGGCUUGGCUGCCCCCGGGGGUUUGCUGGCAUCACUUAGCAUCUGUGAAUCAACACUUCUCGCUGGAAAACAAGGCCAGCGAGGCAGUCUUGUUGAAUCCUCUGCUCCCGCGGUCCAGAGCCGAGUUUGAACCCCGCAGCUCCGUGGACUCCGGCAAGAGGCAGACAGCAAGGCGCUGCCCGGCUCGGGCGAGCUCCCUCUGGGCGCCGUGUGCAGAGGCCCAACCGCCCAGCAGGCUCUGGGCCUCCCCGGGGUGGGGGGACCCCGAGAGCCUGGGCGGCAGAAGUAAGGGACAGUCCCAGCAGACUCUGGCUCCCGAAGCGCCGGGCAGGAUGGAACACUCUGGAGCUCGCUGUGAUCAGUUUAUGCCACCUGCCACCACGCAGCCCAGCUCGGCUGAGCUGGCACUUCAGGGACGUGUGACUCCUUUGGGGGGACUGCCCUGGGCUACUGGACACGUUCGGCCACCUGCGCAGAGAGCCCAGAAGGCCUGGGAGGUUCCCGUGCCCUUAGCCAGCCUCGGGACCCGGUUCCCUUGCUACGCUCAGGCCUGA